rnacentral:misc_RNA from 1 species
CUUAGAUUUCAAGUUGAAGUGGACAACAAACAACCUUAAGAGCAAAUGGUAAACAUAAGAAAAUUGAUAUUUCUAAGAGACAACUAUAACAACAUCCCAAAGUAAAAUUAACUAAUUAAAAACAGUCAAUACACUUAUAGCAACUGUUUAAAAAAGCCUUCUAUAAAUCUUGUUUCUUUUUCUUCCUUUUCAGAUAUUCAUUUGCCUAUUCUCGGUCAAUGAUUACGCGUUGAGGAGAUAUCGAAACAUGUUUAGCAGAAUUCUCAGAAGCAGAAGCCAGGCCCUGCAACAUUCUUAAAAUCUCUGUAGUGUCCUCCAAAUAAUACCUGGCCUUGCUUGGUUUCUGGCCAACUGUGCAAGCAAACACUUCAGCAACGGGGGAAAGUGAGGCACUUGCGACAGCACCCAUUAUAACCUCGAACAUAUCCUCAUCUGAUCGAUCAUCCCCUAUGCAGAGCACGAAGUCUGGUACCGUUCCUUUCUUCUGCAUUGUUUCUAGGAGACGUGCUGCUACAAGACCUUUGCUGACACCCUGAGGCUUCACUUCUACAAUGUUCUGGCCACUCUUGACGGUAACCGGUUCAUUUGCAAGAACGCUUUCCAAGUGAUCUAGAAGCUCUUUUGCCUGACAUGAGCCAAAAUCUGGAUCUGCAUAUUGG